UUCAACGCCACAGCUGUGGUGAGACACAUGCGGCGGCUACACCUUGGCAGCAGCUUGGACAGCGGCUCCAACAUUAGCGUAUCAAACAACCUUAGUUUGGCCAACCCGCUCCCGGACGGCGCAUCCCGAAAAGAGUGUAUCCCCUCGUCUACUCCCUGUAGUUUUUCUUCUUCUGCUUCGCCCUCUAUUCCUGCUGGAGGGGAGAGGAGGCCCAGACAGAC